UUCACGGAGAGUUUGAUCCUGGCUCAGGACGAACGCUGGCGGCGCGCUUAACACAUGCAAGUCGAGCGAGAACCAAUCCUUCGGGAUUGGGGACAGCGGCGAACGGGUGAGUAACACGUGGGUAAUCUGCCCUCGAUUCUGGGAUAGCCCGGGGAAACCCGGAUUAAUACCGGAUAGCCUCUCGAGCUUUCGGGCUCGUGAGAAA
rnacentral:rRNA from 1 species